rnacentral:rRNA from 1 species
GACGAACGCUGGCGGCGUGCUUAACACAUGCAAGUCGAACGGAAAGGCCCCUUUGGGGGUACUCGAGUGGCGCACGGGUGAGUAACACGUGAGUAACCUGCCCUUGACUUCGGGAUAACUUCAGGAAACUGGGGCUAAUACCGGAUAGGAAUCCUUGCUGCAUGGUGGGGGUUGGAAAGCUUCGGCGGUUUUGGAUGGACUCGCGGCUUAUCAGCUUGUUGGUGGGGUAGUGGCUUACCAAGGCUUUGACGGGUAGCCGGCCUGAGAGGGCGACCGGCCACAUUGGGACUGGGAUACGGCCCAGACUCCUACGGGAGGCAGCAGGGGGGAAUAUUGCACAAUGGGCGGAAGCCUGAUGCAGCAACGCCGCGUGCGGGAUGACGGCCUUCGGGUUGGAAACCGCUUUCAGCAGGGGCGAAGCUUGUGGUGACGGUACCUGCAGAAGAAGCACCGGCUAACUACGUG